GUAAAUGUGGGCAAAUACACAAAUCAGCAGCAUCAUGUGAUAGGUUGGUAUUUUUCCUGAUUAUUAUUAUAGUAUUAUUAUUAUUAUUAUUAUAGAUGUAUAAUCCCAUACAUGUUUGCAUACUCGAGUGUAAUUUUAAAAAUGUCUGAGAAACGAAACCUAUUAGAGGAUAUUAAAGCCCCUGAUAGUCAAAUUUUAAUGUAUUAUUCCAGUAACAAAAAAACAGUGUGUGAGAGGAGAACAGGGCUGACGUAGGACCUCUUCACUUAUGAAGGUUUCAAAGUUAGACACACGUGACCAUAACAAGGCACUAAGAUUGUCCCACCCUACCUUAACCUGCCUGGUGACGCUAACUGAUCCCUUCCAGCCUUUUAACCAUCAGAAUUAGCUGUUAAGGCUCAGCCGUAGUGUGUCGACUGUCUGCAGCAUGUUGGUGUCCACAGGCAUCACAUGCAGCUGCUUCACUCAAACACUGCUAAAUGCUAAGUGUGCCUUGCCACGAAUGUUAAAUGUGAAUGUGCUGUUUGAAUACAGCAGCUGCGCAUGUGCAGCGCUCACACUCUCUAUUCCUUUUUAUUAUCGCCUUCUUUUACUGCAGGCCUUUGAGGAGUUGUCAGGCUGCUGCUGCUCACCCCUGUGCACACACACCAUCUUCCCUUUCGUGCUUGACAACUUUUUUUUUUUUUUUUUUUUCUGCAAUACAGGCGACUCUGACUGCCAACUACAAGAAGAUGGAGGCUCAGGUGAACAGCCUGCAGUUUCAACUAGAGACAGAGAGGUUGCGCUACAAAACCAUGCAGAGUGAUCUUCAGAAAGAGCUGAACGUUGCAUUUGAAGAGAACACCAAGCUCACCAUGCUGCUAGAUGGCAAAGUCCCAAAGAGUAGGUUUUCAAUCACUGUUGUGUUCACUGCAUUUAAUCGAAAAUUGUAACACUCCAUUGUUCUCUCCAGAUCUGAUGGAAGGUGUAGAACUUGAGAGAAAAGUGGCCAACCUGAAUAAAGAGCUGGCAGCAGCUCAUAAGAUGGAGGAAGCUCUCAAAGCUCAGCUGGAGGAGCUGGCUGCUUUUCAGACACCUCCAGAGACGGUGGACAACCUGAAGAAGCAGGUUCGCGAGUUGACAGAGGAGCUGGAAUCUGUUCAAAAUGAGAGGGGCGACCUGCUGACAGAGAUUCUGAAUGUCCAAGCAGACCUUAAAGCCUCUGCUCAGAGGGAGCAGCAGCUGAGCCAGCAGUGUGCUGAUGGAACGCAGCAGCUGGAUUCCCUUCGUUCAGAGCUCAUGAAUGCCACGAAGAAGACGGCCUCAAAAGUAAGCCACAAAAUUAAGCCUGACGGCGUAGCAGAGCACCCCCUGCUGUUCCCAGUCAGAUGACUUCUGUUCUUUGUGGAAAAGGGUUGAAAUGCUGCUGUAACCUGAUGGCAUAGCGGUUCUUUUGUUCCAGCUUGAGGAGCAUGAGCAACACAGAGUAGCACUGGAGGACAAACUGAAGGAGACGGAGCAGCUGGUGAAGGACUUGGAAGAGAAGCUGGGUGACAGCGAAAUGUCCAGAACCACGGAGGAGGAGAUCAGCAAAGAACUUCAAGAACAAGUAUGAUGACGUUAGCUUUUUAAAGGCACUGUAGACAUUCCUAGAGGUUAAAGUGCAGUAGUGAUGUCGGCCUCUUUUGCCCACAUGGCCGUGUGUAGGUAAACCAGCUGACUCAUGAGCUUCAGUGUGUGCGAGCAGAGAAAGACGCUCUGCUAUUUGACAAAGAUGCUGGUCUUCAGGCUUUAGCAGAGAUGGAACAGCUGCUGUUGGUUGUUACUGCAGAGAGAGACCGCCUCAGUGUGGAGAUGGUGAGUAAACUUUGAAAGAUGAUGUUUCUCAGUUUUUGCUCAAAAUUAUUGAACAAUCUUUUAAUACUGUUGUAGGCUGCAGAGACACACAGGCAGAAGAACCUCUAUGAGCAGAAGGAAUCAGAGGCGAGUGAAACACUUUAUCUUAAGGCCUUUGUUGUCAGGUCUUUGUUAGUCAAACAUCAUUCUGCCUAAACAGAUGCUGAAAUCAUCACAAGAGCCUCAAUGUGUGCGUGAAGAGGCAGACGCUCUCCCAGGGUCUGGUGCUCAGGGUUCAACAGAGGAAGUGGAGAAGCUUCUGUCUGCUUUGGCUUCUGUCAGCGCAGAACGAGACCAGCUCAAGAUGGACAUGCAGGAAAAUGUGGACAUGGUUGGUUUUUAUCCACCUACUUUUCAGUUUCUGGACAGUGUAUAGUAGCGCAACAGCUUUUAGAUUUGAUUUGUUUUAAAAUCAGAUGAUUGAGAAUCAAGAAGAGCUGAGGACAGUCCUGGAGAGGAACCAUGAACUGAAGGGACAGAUUAAGCAGCUGGAGGC
rnacentral:lncRNA from 1 species